rnacentral:rRNA from 1 species
UACAGAGGGUGCGAGCGUUGUUCGGAAUUAUUGGGCGUAAAGAGCGUGUAGGCGGCCGUACAGGUCAGCUGUGAAAACUCGAGGCUCAACCUCGAGACGUCGGUUGAAACCGUACGGCUAGAGUCCGGAAGAGGAGAGUGGAAUUCCCGGUGUAGCGGUGAAAUGCGCAGAUAUCGGGAAGAACACCCGUGGCGAAGGCGGCUCUCUGGGACGGUACUGACGCUGAGACGCGAAAGCGUGGGGAGCGAACAGG